GACGAACGCUGGCGGCGUGCUUAACACAUGCAAGUCGAACGAAGUGGCGCACGGGUGAGUAACGCGUAAUCAACCUGCCCUUCAGAGGGGGACAACAGUUGGAAACGACUGCUAAUACCGCAUACUGAAGGAGGGGAUUGCGUCUGAUUAGCUAGUUGGAGGGGUAACGGCCCACCAAGGCGAUGAUCAGUAGCCGGGCUGAGGGGAUGAACGGCCACAAUGGGACUGGGAAACGGCCCAGACUCCGUCGGGAGGCAGCAAGGGGGAAUUUUCCGCAAUGGGGGAAAGUCUGACUGAGCAACGCCGCGUGAGAGAUGACGGCCUUCGGGUUGUAAAGCUCUGUUAAUCGGGACGCGGUACCGGAAUAGAAAGCCACGGCUAACUACGUGCCAGCAGCCGCGGUAAUAC
rnacentral:rRNA from 1 species